CCUGGGGGAGCAAAUGGGACCCUGUCAGGUUCAGAUUUCAAUUUGUAGAUUCCUCCCCUACGUGGGAAAGAUUUCAGAGAAUGGCCCAGUAUUGCGGUAACUACUAAAUCCCCUUCUCCAGCUCCCCUUUACAGCAAAGAGAACGCAACGUGGGCCCGGAAAACCUCUGUCCGGCCAGCCUGACAGCAAGAAAUGCAAGCUUAAGAGUUGUCCCAGCACGCAGGAGCAUGGCGUGUCACAGGAAUGUCACAGAGGAUCACUGACAAGUCACGGGGAAGGCCACCUGUGAGGCCAGUCUUGGCGGAUGAGAAGGACUUGACUCGGAAUAAAAGAAGGGCUGCCGGACUCUCAUGCAAGUGGAGGCUUGGUUA